rnacentral:rRNA from 1 species
CAUCUCCUAAGGCUAAAUACUCUCUAGUGACCGAUAGUGAACCAGUACCGUGAGGGAAAGGUGAAAAGCACCCCGGAAGGGGAGUGAAAUAGAACCUGAAACCGUGUGCUUACAAGUAGUCAGAGCCCGUUAAUGGGUGAUGGCGUGCCUUUUGUAGAAUGAACCGGCGAGUUACGAUUUGAUGCAAGGUUAAGCAGUAAAUGUGGAGCCGUAGCGAAAGCGAGUCUGAAUAGGGCGUUUAGUAUUUGGUCGUAGACCCGAAACCAGGUGAUCUACCCUUGGUCAGGUUGAAGUUCAGGUAACACUGAAUGGAGGACCGAACCGACUUACGUUGAAAAGUGAGCGGAUGAACUGAGGGUAGCGGAGAAAUUCCAAUCGAACCUGGAGAUAGCUGGUUCUCUCCGAAAUAGCUUUAGGGCUAGCCUCAAGUGAUGAUUAUUGGAGGUAGAGCACUGUUUGGACGAGGGGCCCCUCUCGGGUUACCGAAUUCAGACAAACUCCGAAUGCCAAUUAAUUUAACUUGGGAGUC